UACGGAGGGAGCUAGCGUUGUUCGGAAUUACUGGGCGUAAAGCGCGCGUAGGCGGCUUUGUAAGUUAGAGGUGAAAGCCCGGAGCUCAACUCCGGAAUUGCCUUUAAGACUGCAUCGCUAGAAUCAUGGAGAGGUUAGUGGAAUUCCGAGUGUAGAGGUGAAAUUCGUAGAUAUUCGGAAGAACACCAGUGGCGAAGGCGACUAACUGGACAUGUAUUGACGCUGAGGUGCGAAAGCGUGGGGAGCAAACAGG
rnacentral:rRNA from 1 species